rnacentral:rRNA from 1 species
AUGAACGCUGGCGGCGUGCCUAAUACAUGCAAGUCGAGCGAACAGACGAGGAGCUUGCUCCUCUGACGUUAGCGGCGGACGGGUGAGUAACACGUGGAUAACCUACCUAUAAGACUGGGAUAACUUCGGGAAACCGGAGCUAAUACCGGAUAAUAUAUUGAACCGCAUGGUUCAAUAGUGAAAGACGGUUUUGCUGUCACUUAUAGAUGGAUCCGCGCCGCAUUAGCUAGUUGGUAAGGUAACGGCUUACCAAGGCGACGAUGCGUAGCCGACCUGAGAGGGUGAUCGGCCACACUGGAACUGAGACACGGUCCAGACUCCUACGGGAGGCAGCAGUAGGGAAUCUUCCGCAAUGGGCGAAAGCCUGACGGAGCAACGCCGCGUGAGUGGUGAAGGUCUUCGGAUCGUAAAACUCUGUUAUUAGGGAAGAACAAAUGUGUAAGUAACUAUGCACGUCUUGACGGUACCUAAUCAGAAAGCCACGGCUAACUACGUG